rnacentral:rRNA from 1 species
GACGAACGCUGGCGGCGUGCUUAACACAUGCAAGUCGAACGGAAAGGCCCUGCUUUUGUUGGGUGCACGAGUGGCGAACGGGUGUGUAACACGUGAGUAUCCUGCCCUUGACAUUGGGAUAUCUUCAGGAAACUGGGGCUCUUACCGGAUAGGAGCUCUUGCUGCAUGGUGGGGGUUGGAAAGUUUCGGCGGUUGGGGAUGUACUCGCGGCUUAUCCGCUUGUUAGUGGGGUAGUGGCUUACCAAGGCUUCGACGGGUAGCCGGCCUGAGAGGGGGACCGGCGACAAGGGGACUGAGAGACGGCCCAGACGGCAACGGGAGGCAGCAGUGGGGAAUAUUGCACAGUGGGCGGAAGCCUGAGGCAGCAGCGCCGCGUGCGGGAUGACGGCUUUCGGGUGGUAAACCGCUUUGGCCUGUGACGAAGCGUGAGUGACGGUAAUGGGUAAGGAAGCACCGGCUAACUACGUG